rnacentral:rRNA from 1 species
GACAUAGGGCGCAAGCGUUGUUCGGAAUUACUGGGCGUAAAGCGCGUGUAGGCGGCUUUGCAAGUCGGGCGUGAAAUCCCAUGGCUCAACCAUGGAAGUGCACUCGAAACUGCAGAGCUAGAGUCCUGGAGAGGAAGGUGGAAUGCUUGGUGUAGAGGUGAAAUUCGUAGAUAUCAAGCGGAACACCGGUGGCGAAGGCGGCCUUCUGGACAGUGACUGACGCUGAGACGCGAAAGCGUGGGGAGCAAACAGG